UACAGAGGUCUCAAGCGUUGUUCGGAUUCAUUGGGCGUAAAGGGUGCGUAGGCGGCAUGGUAAGUCGGAUGUGAAAUCCCGGGGCUUAACCCCGGAACUGCAUUCGAUACUGCCAGGCUAGAGUACUGGAGAGGAGAUUGGAAUUUACGGUGUAGCAGUGAAAUGCGUAGAUAUCGUAAGGAAGACCAGUGGCGAAGGCGGAUCUCUGGACAGUUACUGACACUGAGGCACGAAGGCCAGGGGAGCAAACGGG
rnacentral:rRNA from 1 species